AUUGAACGCUGGCGGCAGGCCUAACACAUGCAAGUCGAGCGGGGUUUUCGGACCUAGCGGCGGACGGGUGAGUAAUGCGUAGGAAGCUGCCCGAUAGAGGGGGAUACCAGUUGGAAACGACUGUUAAUACCGCAUAAUGUCUACGGACCAAAGUGUGGGACCUUCGGGCCACAUGCUAUCGGAUGCGCCUACGUGGGAUUAGCUAGUUGGUGAGGUAAUGGCUCACCAAGGCGACGAUCUCUAGCUGGUUUGAGAGGAUGAUCAGCCACACUGGAACUGAGACACGGUCCAGACUCCUACGGGAGGCAGCGGUGGGGAAUAUUGGACAAUGGGCGCAAGCGUGAUCCAGCCAUGCCGCGUGUGUGAAGAAGGCCUUCGGGUUGUAAAGCACUUUCAGCGAGGAGGAAGGGGUGUGUGUUAAUAGUACACACCUUUGACGUUACUCGCAGAAGGAGCACCGGCUAACUCUGUGCCAGCCGCCGCAGUAAGAC
rnacentral:rRNA from 1 species